CCUGCUUGGCAGGUGGAUCAUUACCACUGAGCCACCUGGGAAGCCCUUAGUAUGAGGCAGAUUCUUUACCACUGACCCACCUGAGAACUUCGUUCAUUACUUGCAACAGUGCCGAUCUACGCAAAACAAAUUACACACCCUCAUUAUCCUAAACUAAUGUCAGCCAUGACGUCUCCGGAAUAACAGCGUUUAACUUUCUUAAGGAAAUUAGGUGUGACAGCAAUGCAGCUUUCCCUUACCAAGCAAUAAAUAAGAGCUUGUUUUAUUUUGGUUAGUCUGUGUGACUUCAAAAAGCAAAAGUUAAAAAUAUUCCAUAAAAUGAUUAUUUUCUACAUUAUAUAGAUGUUCUGAAAUAAAAGUUCUAGUCAGUACUUUUUAUGCAUAUCAGAAGAUGGAAUGUAAACAAAAUUUGCACUUGAAGGUGGAAGAUUAACUAUAUUAAUUUAGAUCCACAAAAUGUGUUUUCUAAGUGUGAAUGAGUGUUAUCCAAUUUUUAUGUUUCUUUCUAUAAAAAUGAGAUUUCUUGUUUUAAAAUCUUCUGCUCUUGGAUACGUGCCUUACUCCUUUUCAUAGAAUUAAUGUGGUUUGCAUCAUUUCUCAGACAGGACUCUUGGUGUCUCUUUCUUUCAUCUGGACUGGUGUGAGUCCAUACCUUUUGUAAGGUCUGUAUGGACACAGGACUCUUACAGAAAAGUACAGUCUAGUUCGCUCUGUAGAGAAAAACAAGUGAUGUUCUUUCUGUUCUUCUUGGUCACAUUUCUGUCUUAUAUCAGAAAGUUUGGGUUCAUAUUCUGAUCAAAAGAAGUGAUAUUUAUUAUGUCUUAUCAGUUAUUUUAUUCUUUACUAUAAAAGUACAUUUAAUUACACUUAACAAACUUACCUGCUCACCUAUUUUCUGUAUUGAAAUCUAAUUCUGUAAUUUCUUUUGUAUAUUUUCCCUUGUGUACAGGAAUAAUAAGAAUUACAUUUACACUCAUUAGAUGUAGCAACUAGUUGAAACACACACACAUAAUUUUUUCUUCACAACAGUUUUAUGAAAUAGAUGUUAUUAUGUCUCAGUUAAGGAAGACAAGAUAGGAAAAGGAUGACUAACCACUCCUAGGAUACAGACCAAGUAAAUGGUAAACUAAAGAUUCAUCCUCAAACAGCCUAAUUUCAGAGUUCAUAUCUUUUAAAAUUUAUUUUAUAUCUCACAUAGCAUUUUUAGUAAUUUCUUCAUUAAAAUUGUAUAUAACAUAAAACAAAGUAAUUGUUCCAAACAACUGACCGUGUACUUCAGUUCAGUUCAGUUCAGUUCAUUUGCGCACUCAUGUCUGACUCUUUGUGACCCCAUGAACUGCAGCUUGCCAGGCUUCCCUGUCCCUCACCACCUCCCAGAGCUUGCUCAAGCUCAUGUCCAUCGAGUCGGUGAUGGCAGUGGCACUGAGUAACCUCUCUCUCUGCCAGUAGUGCUUCGAGCCCCAUUAGAUCUGCUGACCCGUGGGACUUUAGUGGCAGAGCAGUUGCAGCUGGUGCCCCUGGGCGUCCAGUCCGCUGCAGUCUUCCUGUCUGACUGCUGCGUGUAGACAUUAAGCUUCAGCUCGGUGCUGAAUAUUCUCUGACUCUUAAUGAGUAUUGCUUGUACAUGUGAGUAGAAAUAGGAUGUUUAAAUUAUUUUGCAUCUUCUUCUUCUUCUUAUUUAUACUUCUAUUCCUGUUUAUCAUGAGGCAAGAUACUCUGACCUACCAAGGCACAAAGUCAGGCACGUGUGACAGUGCUCCAUUAUCAAAUGGAAGUGGGAAUGAAGGAGACAGGGCUUGAGCAGGGCUGAGGAAAAGUAGCUUGUGUGAAGGAGGUAGCUCACAUCCCCAUGGCUCCAACUCAUAUAUCACAUUCUUGAGCCCAGGAAAGACAGUACUGUGGGAUAUAAAGAGACCACCUAAAGCUGACAGCUGGGGCCAUCUAGUUUCUGUCUGGGGGUACCUCUAAAGGACAGGGCUGAACGGAGGCUCGACCAGGAGACUUGUCACAGAGCACAGCCAAGAGCAGACCUCAGCACAGCCGUACCUGUGAGCUAUUACUCUGCACCCUGUUACCAGGCAGCAAGUCCUGUUCAGCCAUUUUCAAUGGGCUCCUCCCCCCAAGGAAGCAACUGUCAGUGAGUGACUGUUAGUGGGGACAACCAGGCAAGGUCAGCGGAGCAGGGGUUGUCACGUGGAUAGUGAGGUAAGAGUCAAUCCUGGCCUCCCCUCCAGGGUGCUCCAGUUCAUCCAGCCUCAGACCAAUGGUGAUCUGGGGGCAUCAGGGCACAUGUGGGGGUCUGUGUCCUGUUGACCCUCCAGAGCCCUCACUGUGGCCUCUACUGGCCGCGGCCAGGCCUUGAGGAGGCAGUGACCCUCUCCCCGCCUCUGCCACCUCCUGGCAGCACCAUCUGCCCUGGAUACCAUCUGCAAGACCUGCUCCCACACCCCCCACAUGGCUGGCCUGAGGAGCCGGAGGGCCAGUUGCGUUUGGCGCCUGGCUCCCUCAGCAAUGACAGCUGAGCAGGGUCUGAGGACCCAGCGCUGAGGGCGCUGCCAGCUGAGCUC